UCCAACUUUGUGAGGAAACAUGACGGAUAUAGAAUAGGUGGGAGCUGGGUGGUUCGGUGCCUGGCAUCAGUGAAAUACCAUUGCUGUCAUUGUUUCUUUAAUUAUUCACUGAAACGGGAAAGUAAUGGCAUUUUGGUGGGAAGCACGUGCUGGCCAACGUGGUUUAACGCUGGCUGUGUCGGUGUCAUGCUCAUGUCAGAU
rnacentral:ncRNA from 1 species